rnacentral:rRNA from 1 species
AGAGUUUGAUCAUGGCUCAGAACGAACGCUGGCGGCGCGCCUAAUACAUGCAAGUCGAGCGAGAAGGUGUAGCAAUACACUUGUAAAGCGGCGAACGGGUGAGGAAUACAUGGGUAAUCUACCAUCGAGUGGGGAAUAACCAACCGAAAGGUUGGCUAAUACCGCGUACGCUUCUGAGCCUUCGGGUUCGGAAGGAAAGCCGUACUGUGAGUGCGGCGCUCUUUGAUGAGCUCAUGUCCUAUCAGCUUGUUGGUAGGGUAACGGCCUACCAAGGCUUUGACGGGUAGCUGGUCUGAGAGGACGAUCAGCCACACUGGCACUGCGACACGGGCCAGACUCCUACGGGAGGCAGCAGUAAGGAAUAUUGCGCAAUGGGCGAAAGCCUGACGCAGCGACGCCGCGUGGGGGAUGAAGGUCUUCGGAUUGUAAACCCCUUUCGGGAGGGAAGAUGGAGCGAGCAAUCGUUCGGACGGUACCUCCAGAAGCAGCCACGGCCAACUUCGUGCCAGCAGCCGCGGUAAUACGAAGGUGGCAAGCGUUGUUCGGAUUCACUGGGCGUACAGGGUGUGUAGGCGGUUUGGUAAGCCUUCUGUUAAAGCUUCGGGCCCAACCCGGAAAGCGCAGAGGGUACUGCCAGGCUAGAGGGUGGGAGAGGAGCGCGGAAUUCCCGGUGUAGCGGUGAAAUGCGUAGAGAUCGGGAGGAAGGCCGGUGGCGAAGGCGGCGCUCUGGAACAUACCUGACGCUGAGACACGAAAGCGUGGGGAGCAAACAGGAUUAGAUACCCUGGUAGUCCACGCCCUAAACUAUGGAUACUAAGUGUCGGCGG